AAGUCGUAACAAGGUUUCCGUAGGUGAACCUGCGGAAGGAUCAUUACAAAUCCAUCGCGUCUCUCUCACCCGAGACAACGUCUAACUGUUCCGAGCGUGAAGGCGUCGUCGUCGCCGCUGCUGGUCUCUCCUUGACCGAGCGAGCGUGCGCGGCGUGCCCGACCGCCCGUACCUUUACACCCCCUUCUUAAGCUGACGACCGUUGCUUCAUAUGUAGCUUCUCAUGCGCAUCAACGCGAGAAACAACUUAUAACAAUGGAUCUCUAGGCUCUU
rnacentral:misc_RNA from 1 species